CCAGCCUGCCCGGUGAUAUAAUUUAACGGCCGCGGUAUACUGACCGUGCGAAGGUAGCAUAAUCACUUGUUCUUUAAAUGGGGACUAGUAUGAAUGGCACCACGAGGGCUUUACUGUCUCCUUUCUUCAAUCAGUGAAACUGACCUCCCUGUGAAGAGGCAGGGAUACUACUAUAAGACGAGAAGACCCCAUGGAGCUUUAAACCCAACAACAGCCCAAACACCUACCCCCUCAAAGUUUUUAAAGUUUUGUUAGUUGGUUUUAGGUUGGGGUGACCGCGGAGUACAAACCACCCUCCACGACGAAUGGGCCUACCCCCUUACCCAAGAAUUACACCUCUAAGGAUUAACACAUUAACGUAAAAUGAUCCAAAUAUUUGAUCAACGAACCAAGUUACCCUGGGGAUAACAGCGCAAUCCAUUUUUAGAGCCCCUAUCGACAAAUGGGUUUACGACCUCGAUGUUGGAUCAGGGUAUCCCGGAGGUGCAGCCGCUUCCAAUGGUUUGUUUGUUCAACAAUUAAAACCCUACGUGAUC
rnacentral:rRNA from 1 species